rnacentral:tRNA from 1 species
CGUGGAGUAGCUAAGCUUAAGCAUUUCGUCUGUUAAUCGAAAGAGUGCGGAAGUAAAUCCCGCCUGCGCGG